rnacentral:rRNA from 1 species
GUAAAGUGGCGCACGGGUGAGUAACGCGUGGAUAAUCUGCCCUUCAGUUGGGAAUAACUCAUCGAAAGUGGGCUAAUACCGAAUAAUACUGUGAGACCUUGGUUGAGCAGUCAAAGAGAGCCUCUGCUUGCAUGCCCUCGCUGAAGGAUGAGUCCGCGUACCAUUAGCUAGUUGGUAGGGUAAUGGCCUACCAAGGCGACGAUGGUUAGCUGGUCUGAGAGGAUGAUCAGCCACACUGGAACUGAGACACGGUCCAGACUCCUACGGGAGGCAGCAGUGAGGAAUCUUGCGCAAUGGGGGCAACCCUGACGCAGCAACGCCGCGUGAGUGAGGAAGGUCUUCGGAUCGUAAAGCUCUGUCAGAUGGAAAGAACCGCAUGGGGGUUAAUAUCCCUCAUGUCUGACGGUACCAUCAAAGGAAGCACCGGCUAACUCCGUGCCAGCAGCCGCGGUAA